GGAAAAGUGGACAGAUAAACCCAUAUCAUGGAUAGGCUGGAUCCACAUGGUAAACAUGAAUAUUCUGCCACGAAUUCUCUUCCUGUCCCAAGCAUUACCCUUACACAUCUCUAAAUCAUGCCUAGCUCCCCUGCAACGAGUGAUAGGUACUUUUUAUAUGGCAAAAUAAACAACACAUAUUGUACCAACCGAAAAUGCACAGAGGAUUAGGUUUACCUCACCUACACUUAUACCAUUUGGCGGCACAGUUGACACAAAUUGCUAUGUGGCAUUCCCCCCUGGAAGAGAGGAAGUGGGUAGAAAUCGAAUCACUGAUGCUGACAGUGGACCUCCCUCAAUUUAUAAUGUGGGUGCCUAAGGCAGACAGACCAAUGCUGAGAAGCACAUGCAGU